CAGCCGCCGCGGUAAUACGUAGGGUGCGAGCGUUAAUCGGAAUUACUGGGCGUAAAGCGUGCGCAGGCGGUUCGUUAAGACAGAUGUGAAAUCCCCGGGCUUAACCUGGGAACUGCACUUGUGACUGGCGAGCUAGAGUAUGGCAGAGGGGGGUAGAAUUCCACGUGUAGCAGUGAAAUGCGUAGAGAUGUGGAGGAAUACCGAUGGCGAAGGCAGCCCCCUGGGUCAAUACUGACGCUCAUGCACGAAAGCGUGGGGAGCAAACAGGAUUAGAUACCCCGGUAGUCCCUGUCUCUUAUAC
rnacentral:rRNA from 1 species